rnacentral:tRNA from 1 species
GCGGCGUUAGCCUAGUGGCAAGGCCCUGGAUUGUGGAUCCAGUUAGACGAGUUCGAUCCUCGUACGCCGCC